ensembl:lncRNA
AAAUAAAACCUUUGGAGCAGCCCGCAGACCAGCAGUGCGGCGAAGGGCUCAGCUGGAGGAACUGAAAGCAGCAGGAUUGGGAAGCGGCAGAUGCGGGAUGUUCUUGCAUCCACUGUGCAGUAGCAAUUAAAAGCUGCUCGGGAGCGAGGUGAUCCCGACCCCCUCCCCUGCCUUCCCACCGGAGCCGAGACCACUGCUUGGGGGUGAAAAGGCUUACAGUCAAGAAGUGAUUUGUUAAUUAAUCGCUGCUGUCUUCUGGGACACAGGGAAUGGAGCCGUUGUUCUGUUAUCGCAGUGCCUGUGUCACACAAGACUCCCUAGGAGUAAUAACCUGCUUGUGAGGCUGUGAUGCAAGAGUUGAGGAAGUGCUUUGCCCUGAAGGUUGUCUUCUCAGAUGUUUCCAGGAACUGAGGAGUGCAGGAUUGCUAGAUAACACCACGUCUAGAGCAUCUGAGGCUGUUCCACAUGGAUAAUAGGAAAGUCAAAUGGCUUUAAUACGUACUCUUCCCUUCUGUGAAUGAGAAGAAAGGAGAAGAUUGAACAUCCUGCCCUAACUUCUCUCCUUGCGUGAUGCCAGCUACAUGAACAUAAUUGCACCAAUUACAGGGAGUUGUGCAACUUUACGAACUGUCUAUAAAAGUUCUGCUCUUAGAAGAUGGGUGGCCAGAAGGGAGCAGAGUAUCCUUCUGUUGCAACUCUUCUGAGACUUCAUCUCUACCUUUGCAGGGUGUUUGUCAUGAGACAAAUGUUCUGAGCUAAUACACCAGCUUUCCUGACCAGCUAUUUCUUUUGAUGGCUUUAUGGCUUUAGGUUUAUCCUUCAUAGAGCAAAGAUAGCAAUCAGCCCCAUGCUUUCUGGGGAGAAGCAGGAUGCGGUUCUGCUUUUUAACUUUACUGCAUUAUAGGUAAUAAAUGGCUUUAAAAAAUCACUGCACUGCAGAGUGCCUCUCUGUAUUCUCUGUAAGUGCCUUUUAUAGUGCACUUGGCCAAAACAGUGCUACUCUGUAUGAUAAAAUGACUGGAAUGUGGUUGGGGCAAUGGUCAAACACGUGGGGCUCAACCUGUCUCACUUACUCUGUAAUUCCUGAGCAACUUUGUGUUAAUAAAGUUAGUAGGUUUGAAU